rnacentral:rRNA from 1 species
AACGAACGCUGGCGGCAUGCCUAACACAUGCAAGUCGAACGAACCCUUCGGGGUUAGUGGCGCACGGGUGCGUAACGCGUGGGAAUCUGCCCUUUGCUUCGGAAUAACAGUUAGAAAUGACUGCUAAUACCGGAUGAUGUCUUCGGACCAAAGAUUUAUCGGCAAGGGAUGAGCCCGCGUAGGAUUAGGUAGUUGGUGGGGUAAAGGCCUACCAAGCCGACGAUACUUAGCUGGUCUGAGAGGAUGAUCAGCCACACUGGGACGGAGACACGGCCCAGACUCCUACGGGAGGCAGCAGUGGGGAAUAUUGGACAAUGGGCGCAAGCCUGAUCCAGCAAUGCCGCGUGAGUGAUGAAGGCCUUCGGGUCGUAAAGCUCUUUUACCAGGGAUGAUAAUGACAGUACCUGGAGAAUAAGCUCCGGCUAACUCCGUGCCAGCCGCCGCGGUAACAC